GCGUCCCCGGUACCGCCCCUCCCCUCGUGCGCUCGCGCUGGUGGAGCCGCGGAGCCGGGUAGGCCUAGCCAGAGCACAACCCAACCGCGCACGUCUAAGCCGACCGGAGCCCCAGCGUGGGGCCUGAGCCCCAGCGGUGAGCGCCAACACAUCUCAACUCCACGAAGUGCAGCUCCUACUAGUGGCUCCCGAGCCUCCUCCAGAAUUGAGAUUGAGUAAUUGGAAAAGGGGCCCCAGCACAGAAACGGACCUUGGACCCCACCCACCGUUGAACCCGCUGAGGACCUCACCUGAUCCAGCCCUUGAAACGGUGCGCGUGCGCCCCCUGGUGUGUGACGAGCGGAUGGCUCCAGCGAUGCCGGGCAAAGGAUUCCUUCCAGAUGACAAACAGGUCAAAAAUGAGUGUCUCAGUCAGUGGUUUUACGCCCCUUGGUAAUUUUGGAGUACUGUGGGGGGAGGUAUUGCAACGCUCGUGCAUUUUUUGGCAUUUUUGCUUCUGUUUCAGAACUUUGAGGGUUCGGCUCCACCCCCAGUUUUUAAAAAGUGUAAUCUUCAGCCAAUUAUGUCCGUGCGUUGCUGACUUAGGAAAAGUCUUUCUACUUGGUGCCCCUGGCCUACACUCCCACACCGGCUACUCUCUCUCCAGUUCUCUUCUAGCGCUCUGCCUUAGGCCUCCCCUUUUUCCUGCUGAGCUGCCUUUUCCUGGACCGAUUCGCCCACCAGCAACCAUGUCUCUGCAGUCUGGGCCUCUCAUCUGAACCCCAGGUCCAUGUAACCGAGACAGAGUUCUGCACUCACUCCCCCCGCCCCGGGGCUGCUCGCCCUCCCUGUUCCCCACUUCUUGUAAUGCCUGGACCGGAAGUGCCAGUCUUUCUCUCCUGCGGUCCCGUCUGCUCCUUGGUGGUCAGUCCUACAGAGGCUGGAGACCACAUGGCUCCGUGAGAGACACGCACAGAGAAGGGAACAGAUUCUGACUUUGAGGUUCUGGGCCACACAAAACCAGUCUGCUCGCAGAAUCUGCUGUGCAUGGUGAUGGGGUAUCGCCCCUUGAGACGUGCUCUACCUCGUGUGGUCCCUUGGCACCAGCUGCACCUAUUUAGAGCCGUCCCUAAGGCUCUGGUCACCCCUGUCUGUAGCCGUGUCUGUCUCCUCUGCUCGCAGAUGUGGGCCCCUUGAAGGCAAGACAGUCUGCCCUGUCUGCUGUCAGCCCCGGGCUGGUGCAGGGGCCUGGCAGGCAAUGGGUGCUUGCCACCUACAGGACAGACAGAUAGCUUCCCUCUCCACAUUCAAGAGACCAUCAGACAGAAAUGCCCAGGUGAGGGCAGGGCUCCCUGGCCAUACCUUAGAGUGUGUCCUGACCUCAGGUUGUGGGUCUGGCCUGUGCUGGAAGUGGGGCUGGUGGUGGGUGCUGGCCUGUGUGCCCGCUCGCCUGGCCUCAGUGGGUAUGGCAAGCCUGUUCCCUCUUCCCAGCGCUGUGGCCUAGGAGACAGAACUCGGUGGGCAGGAGCCAGCAGCCCUGCGAUGGAAGUCAGCAGACCCUCUCCCUGCUGAGCUGACCAGGCUCUUGCUUCAAACCCCAGGGGGACACGGGUCCUCAGACUCUCCAGCCAUCGGUCUCUAGCACCUAGCUUGCCCAUCUUUGGUCCCGUAUGUGGCCAAGUGUUUGCUAAGACAGGGCAGGGGGAUGCCUCUGGGCAGCCUGCCCGGCUCUCAGCAGGCACAGCACCUGGAAGCAGACAAGAGCCAAGGGAAUAAGCCAGAGGCCAGGCCGCAGGGCCACAGGACAAGGACCUCAGGUGGCCGGGCCCGGGAGGGUGUGAACACGCCUGAAGGAGCAGAGCCACGGCUCUGUCCAGAUGGCCAGACUCCGAGCGCCAGGUCCGUGUGGGGCCGCCCUGCCGCCCUGCUCCUGUGCCUGGCGGGCAGGGAUGUCCUUGUGCUCAUGUGUGAAGGCCGAGUGGCACCACGUGGCAGCUCUGUGUCUGCUGUGCCCGGGCCCCAGGGCGCUGGGUGCGGGGAGAGCAGCUGUCAGCUUCCACUCACUGUUCACUCUCGGGCCAGGGCCUGGGCCCCCGGACACUCUCCUCAAACUCGUGCCAUCAGUCCCUCUCUUCAUCUCGCAGUUGCUUUAAAUUGAAUUAUGUUCAGCUGAAGUCUCCGCCCCACCCUCGCCCCCCAUCAGCAGAUUGGCCUUUCACUGAAGCGCCGCUCACCUCGCCCCAGCCAGCCGAGAGCUCCAGGGGCCUGCACGGCCACGGGGGAGGUCAGUCUGAGGGCCACUGCCUUGUGGGGAAAGGCACAAGUAUUUUGAGGUCACUGUUUCUGCUGCAGACAUCACCUUGGCCUGCAGCUGCGAGGCCUCACCUGGGCAGCCUGGUGCUCCUGGCCCCGCUCUUACAAGUGGGGCCCCGCCCCAGGCCCCCGAGAGCCACAGCUCUCAGUCUUGGGUGUGGCUGGUCACCCCCAGCCCCUUUCUAGAGAGAGGAGUGGGAGAGAAAAGGCCCGUCCUCCAUGGAAAGCCAAUGCCCCAAGGCAAGGGAUGGUCGCCUUCUUGGAGACGCCAGGACCCCCAAACAGCCCGUGUGCCUCCUGGGGUAUGGGGUCGGGAGGGAAGAGGCCCAGGCCUUAGAGCACAAAAUCCUGGCUGAUGCCUCCCGUCCCUUCCUGGUGGGAUCUGGAGUUCAUCUCUCCGCACAUCACUGCGUGGUGACCUCCCCUCGUGCUCCUCUGAGAAAGCAGGAGCCAUUGCGAAGGACUGCCCCAUGUCCCCACUACCAAAUCCACACCCCAUGCACACCUGCUCCUCCCCAUGCCCCCCUCCCUGCCGUCUAGCGGACGGUGCCCCCAGCCCCUGCUCAGGAGGCUCUGGCUCCUCCGGGGCCCUGCUCUCUGCUCCUGUGCUGUCUGCUGCAUCCCCUGCACUGUGUCGUCGUCACCUGGUCACAGUCACGGCCACGCAUCCCAGGUCCUCACCAAAGACCCCCUGCCUUGAGCCCAGGCCCCCUCCGGAGGGGGACAGGCUGGAAUGUUUCUCUGCCAUCUUCCACAACAGCCCCAGGAGCAGUCUCUAGACGCUGCCUGCGCCCUGCCACCUCCUGCUCCCAUCUGGCUCCCAGGAGCAACACUGCACUGAAAUCGCGCUGCCUGCGACACUGUCCGCCUUCGUUGUCCUGAGCCCAGUGGCCACACCUCUGUGGUCAGCUUAGCGAACCCGUCAGCUGCCUUGGCUGCCUCCUGCCGCCAGCCUGGGCGACUUCAGCACCAUGCGGCCGGCCUGCCCGUUGUCCUCCUCGCCACAAGGGCCUUCUUCUACUGGCCACCUGUGCUCUCCCCCGCACCCCCACGCACUGAACCCUGACCUCAUCCCAGACUGCACGUGUCUGCUCCUGCCCUCUCCCCCCGCCCCUGUCCUGCUGCGUGAAGAGGGCCCGGCCUCACCAGCAUUUCUGCUGUUGGUGGUCUCCUUUCUUCUCUUUGCUCCCUGUCCUUAGAUGGCAAGACCCACAUUAAAAAAAUCUUUUAUUUAUUUUUAUUUAUUUGAAAGGCAGAGCAAUGAAAAGGUCUUCCAUCCGCUGGUUCACUCCCCAGAUGGCCACAAUGGCUGGAGCUGCACCGAUCUGAGGCCAGGAGCCAGGAGAUUCUUCCAGGUCUCCCACGCGGGUGCAGGGGCCCAAGGACUUGGGCCAUCUUCUACUGCUUUCCCAGGCCAUAGCAGAGAGCUGGAUCAGAAGUGGAGCAGCUGGGACUUAAACUGGCGCCCAUGUGGGAUGCCGGCACUGCAGGCGGCGGCUUUACCUGCUAUGCCACAGCGCCGUCCCUCCCUAGCAGCUUUCUUCAUGGAGCGGUCCUGUCUGCCACUGUGGCAGUCCUGUUCAUGUGGCCCAGUGUGCAGUGCGUCUGGCUUUUAUAACCCACCCGAUUCCCCAGAGAUGGAUGCUAUGAUCUCCAUGUCUCGGAAUUUGAGAGCUGUUUCGUUCAGAGUUCAUCUUAGCAGACCUCUUGGUCACCACAGUCUUAAAACCUGGUCCCUUGGGCUCCUCUGACCCUAUUCUCUCUGGCUCAGUCUCCUGGGCAGGGGCCUCCCCCUUCCUCACUGGUCUAUGCUCCAGUUCCCAGGCCCCUUCCCCACUCACUGUGGACCCCUCCCUGGUGACCUCAUCCAUGCCUGCAGAUUCAGUUACCGUCCACCUGUGGGUGAGUAGCCCCAGCCUGGGGAGCCUCCUGACCACGAGGAGCCUCACCAACUGCCAGCCAGUCCCCUCCUCAGUGCACGUGGCUCCAAUGCGGCCAAGACCUAAAUGGUGAUGUCCGCUCCUGACACCUGUGCAGUGUCCCCUGUCUCAGUAAGUGGCUCCGUUGUGCAGGUGAUGGAUCAGCCAGAAUCCUGGCAGCCAUCACCAAGUCCUGCUAAUUUUACCUCCAAGACCCUCUCUCAUCUACCCGCUUCUCUUCAGCUCCACUGGUAACCCAGUGGUCCGAGCCACCCCUAGAGCUUGACGGGGGCGCCUAACUGAUGUCGCUGCCUCUGCUCUGCCCCUCUGCAGCCUCAUCUCUGUGCUGCAGCCUUGAGUGGCAUCACGUCUCUGCCCCAUUCAAACUUUCUAAUGACUUCCCAUUGGUCCUAGCCAAAGAACCAACCCCUUCUCAUGUACGAAGCGCCCUCUCGUGGCCUGCUUCCUAGUCCCAUGCAGUGUCAUACUCCCCUCUGCCUCUGCUCUGCUACACCAGGGUCCCUUCUGGUCCUCGGACGCACUGUCUCUCCACACUGUGCCCCACGCCUGCAGCUACCAGGCCUUUGCACAUUCUUCCCAGAAGACUUUCCCGGGCCCUUCACCCUUUAGAUCAUUCUUCACUCUUGGCUCAAGUGUCCCUUUCUUGGGGCAGCCUUUGCUGACCCUUGGUCAGGAUCAGGGUUGGUUGUUAGCCAUUCUCAGAGAGCCUUGUCGCUUCCUGCCCAAACAUUCA